AGCAGUAGCCGCGGGAAUACAGAGGGUGCGAGCGUUAAUCGGAUUUACUGGGCGUAAAGCGUGCGUAGGCGGCUUCUUAAGUCGGAUGUGAAAUCCCUGAGCUUAACUUAGGAAUUGCAUUCGAUACUGGGAAGCUAGAGUAUGGGAGAGGAUGGUAGAAUUCCAGGUGUAGCGGUGAAAUGCGUAGAGAUCUGGAGGAAUACCGAUGGCGAAGGCAGCCAUCUGGCCUAAUACUGACGCUGAGGUACGAAAGCAUGGGGAGCAAACAGGAUUAGAUACCCCGUAGUCCCUGUCUCUUAUACA
rnacentral:rRNA from 1 species